CCUACGGGAGGCAGCAGUGGGGAAUAUUGCGCAAUGGGCGAAAGCCUGACGCAGCAACGCCGCGUGGGGGAUGAAGGCCUUCGGGUUGUAAACCUCUUUCAGCAGGGAAGAAGCGAAAGUGACGGUACCUGCAGAAGAAGCACCGGCUAACUACGUGCCAGCAGCCGCGGUAAUACGUAGGGUGCAAGCGUUGUCCGGAUUUAUUGGGCGUAAAGAGCUCGUAGGCGGUUAGUCACGUCGGAUGUGAAAUCCCGGAGCUUAACUCCGGGCCUGCAUUCGAUACGGGCUGACUCGAGUGUUGUAGGGGAGACUGGAACUCCUGGUGUAGCGGUGAAAUGCGCAGAUAUCAGGAAGAACACCGGUGGCGAAGGCGGGUCUCUGGGCAACUACUGACGCUGAGGAGCGAAAGCGUGGGGAGCAAACAGGAUUAGAUACCCUGGUAGUCCACGCCGUAAACGGUGGGCGCUAGGUGUGGGGAACAUUCCACGUUCUCUGCGCCGCAGCUAACGCAUUAAGCGCCCCGCCUGGGGAGUACGGCCGCAAGGCUAAAACUUAUGAAUUGACGG
rnacentral:rRNA from 1 species